GCAGAACGGACCGUGCAUGGUUCCCCGACACCGCCCCAGGCGGCAGGGGACGAACAGGGAAUGCGGAAGGACCCGACCCAGCCCGGGGGGACCCGCCCGCAGCCGCCCCCGCGACUGUCAGCGGAGAGCGCCCGUCAACGUGCCACUGGGCCCCAGGCCCGGGAAGGCGGCGAGGCGCAGCGAUCCGCGAGCCAGGAGACCUGCCAUGCGCGAUGAAACGCC
rnacentral:ncRNA from 2 species